rnacentral:rRNA from 1 species
CCUACGGGAGGCAGCAGUGAGGAAUAUUGGUCAAUGGACGCAAGUCUGAACCAGCCAUGCCGCGUGCAGGAAGACGGCUCUAUGAGUUGUAAACUGCUUUUGUACGAGGGUAAACGCAGAUACGCGUAUCUGUCUGAAAGUAUCGUACGAAUAAGGAUCGGCUAACUCCGUGCCAGCAGCCGCGGUAAUACGGAGGAUUCAAGCGUUAUCCGGAUUUAUUGGGUUUAAAGGGUGCGUAGGCGGUCGGAUAAGUUAGAGGUGAAAUCCCGAGGCUCAACUUCGGAAUUGCCUCUGAUACUGUUCGGCUAGAGAGUAGUUGCGGUAGGCGGAAUGUAUGGUGUAGCGGUGAAAUGCUUAGAGAUCAUACAGAACACCGAUUGCGAAGGCAGCUUACCAAGCUACUUCUGACGUUGAGGCACGAAAGCGUGGGGAGCGAACAGGAUUAGAUACCCAGUAGUC